rnacentral:rRNA from 1 species
AUUGAACGCUGGCGGCAGGCCUAACACAUGCAAGUCGAGCGGAUGAAGGGAGCUUGCUCCUGGAUUCAGCGGCGGACGGGUGAGUAAUGCCUAUGAAUCUGCCUGGUAGUGGGGGAUAACGUUCGGAAACGGGCGCUAAUACCGCAUACGUCCUGAGGGAGAAAGUGGGGGAUCUUCGGACCUCACGCUAUCAGAUAAGCCUAGGUCGGAUUAGCUAGUUGGUGGGGUAAAGGCCUACCAAGGCGACGAUCCGUAACUGGUCUGAGAGGAUGAUCAGUCACACUGGAACUGAGACACGGUCCAGACUCCUACGGGAGGCAGCAGUGGGGAAUAUUGGACAAUGGGCGAAAGCCUGAUCCAGCCAUGCCGCGUGUGUGAAGAAGGUCUUCGGAUUGUAAAGCACUUUAAGUUGGGAGGAAGGGCAGUAAGUUAAUACCUUGCUGUUUUGACGUUACCAACAGAAUAAGCACCGGCUAACUUCGUG